AAAUUGAGGGCUAAAGAGUGUCAGGUGGUUAUAGGAGCCUUAAAAAGUGGGGUCACCUUGCCCAACUACCUUGUUGUACAAAUAAGGAAGCUAAGGACAGGAAAGGAGAGGUGACAUAUUUAAGGUCAAGUGAGUAGUUAGUAACUGAUGCAGAAUUUGGACCCAGGUUACAUGAUUCCUCCUUUCUUUCCCCAGACUGUCUCUCUAACAUCUUGGCUGGAUCAUUUUAUAAGGAUCAAAUUCAUCUCGAAACCACUGCCGUUACUUUAAUGACACCUUUCUGGAGACCCCAGCAGAGCACAGACCUUGCGCAUAAGGAAGUAGCCGAGCAGAGACUGAUGGUUCCAGACAGCACAGUGAACCAGCUGGGGAACGAAUGGGGGAUCCAAGCGCUUCCCCAGGCGCUUCCCCACCCGAACCUAGGAACUCAGGACGCCACUUCCAGGGAGGCCUCACCUGGAUGCCCACUUCCCCUGGCUCAGGAGUUGGAGGCACUUCGACAGGCACUCUAGGGGCCUCUGGACUACAGGAGACUGCUUCCCUGGCCAACUCCAACAGUAGGAGUCUAUCUCUCAACUCAGCCGGCCUCUGCGUUGGAUCUCUUUGUCUCGAAGAUUUGCAACUCUUUUCUGGCAACCUCAGAAUGGUGUGGCCACGGUGGAGUCUCGUUCCAUCUGUGUUCUCUUCAACUAAUGAAAAACUAUGGAGGUCUCAUUAGUAAGUAACGCAUGUAAUGCCCGUUGAUGUCAAUGGUGGUUGGCGGGUAGAGUUUGUGUGGGAGCACGGCCUUUAUGCCUUUGGCGGUCCCACAGGGCGCCUAUGUUCUUGUUUCUGCCUCACUUUCAGACACCUGCCUUCCCUCAACACCAACAUUAGGUUUG
rnacentral:lncRNA from 1 species